UACGAAGGGGGCGAGCGUUGUUCGGAUUUACUGGGCGUAAAGGGCGCGUAGGCGGCCAGCACAAGUCAGUUGUGAAAUCUCCGGGCUUAACUCGGAAAGGUCAACUGAUACUGUGCGGCUAGAGUGCAGAAGGGGCAACUGGAAUUCUCGGUGUAGCGGUGAAAUGCGUAGAUAUCGAGAGGAACACCUGCGGCGAAGGCGGGUUGCUGGGCUGACACUGACGCUGAUGCGCGAAAGCCAGGGGAGCGAACGGG
rnacentral:rRNA from 1 species